AGCAUCAGGAGCAGCCUCACAGAAUCAUCCCAACUCUUGGACCUGCGUUGACCCCAACUCACCUUCCACAAAGAGACUGAGAAGACCUCAUUGCCCCACGUGGUGUUGCAUUGAUUGAAGCGGGCAGCAGCACUGACUCCAAUGGUUUCGAAGUGGCCCUUCACCCCACAGAGGCUGAGCGUUCCUGAAGCUGCUGCUGCUGCUGCUGCUGCUGUUAUAAUCAUCUCCAAGACCCACAGCUGGUACUAUUGCCAUACUCUGGGCCUCUGCCCGUCUCAGUGUUACAGACCCUCCCUGUGGACCUCCUAAAUUGUCUCCCCUUUUGUUGGCUCUGUCAUGCCAAAAUUUGAUUUCAGGCACUAUUUCAAAAUUGUUUGGAGGGGAAUGUCGGGAGAGUUCAGCUGGGUCCCGGCCUGUAUUCCACCAUAUUUGUGACUAGACUCUCACUCUCUUUUAAACCCUUUACAGUCUGGUUUCAGGCCACAUCCCUUAAUUGACCUGGCUCUCUCCAAAGUUACCAAUGACUUUCUAAAUGACAAAUCAGAUGACUUUUUCUCAAUCUUCAUCUUUGGUCACAUUGCAGCAUUUAACACUGUUGGCCACCAUCUCCUGGAUAUCUCCCUCCUCUCGGAUUUUGCGAUGGGCUCCUGGUUCUCAUCCUAUUCAUCUGACCACUGCUCAGUUCUCUUUGCUGGAGCUUCAUUUCGUAUCAUUCCUGCUAACCCUGUGUGUCCCCUAACACUCUGAACCAGGACUUCUUUUCUUUUCUCUCCACAGUCUCUCACCUGGUGACCUCAUUGGACUCCAUGGGUUCAAUGAUCAUCUCUGUGCAGAUGGCUCCCAGAUCUAGAUAUCCCUAGUUUCUCUCCUGAGCUCCAGUCCUGCAUCAUAAAUGAUGUUUGGCAUUUCCAGUUGGAUGUUUCCUUGCCAUUUCAAACUCAAUAGAUCUAAAACAGAAGUAGUUCAUUUCCCCUUCAAACCCAUCCCAUUUCUGAACUCUUCUAUUUCUAACAAGGAUGUUGCCAUUCUUCUAGUCACUCACAUUCCCAACCUCAGCAUCAUCCUCAGCUCUUCUGUCUCCCUCACUCUCCAUCCCCCUCAUCCAACCCUUCGCCAAUUCUUGUGAUCAUUAUCUCUUGCCUCUGGCCCCUUUCCUGUACUCACACAGCCACUCCUAAAGUGCUGGUCUGACUGUGUCACUUCCGCUCUCGAUAAACCAUGCUGGCUAUCUACUGUCUCCAGGAUAAAAUACAAAGUCUUCUGCCUUUUAAUGUCCUUCCCAUUUUGGACCCAACCAACCUUUCCAGUAUUGUUAUGUAUUAUUCUUCUUCACACACACUAUGAUCUGACCAAACUCGCCUUUUGGCUUUUCCUUGUACACAACAUCCCAUCUACCACCACCAUGCCUUUACUCAGGCUGUCCCCCAUCCCUGAAGCACAUUCCCUGCUCACCUCUGUAACACAGCAUCCUUAGCUGCCUUCAGGACUCAGCCUAAAAACAACCUUUGCAGCUCGACUCCACAUCCCAUGACCUCAUUCUGGUCCAAUUUUCAGACCCAAACCAUGGGGACCCAAACAAUUUUUCCUUUUCCUCUCCAACUCCAGAGUUGGAUUCUAGAGUUCCUUUUUCACUCAACAUGUAAAAUUAUCAAUCCUAGCUUCAUGAUUUGUUGGGUGGAACACAAAGAGCCUGAGCUGUACCGUUAGAAGACCUUGCUUCAGAUCCCAGUUCUGCCCUACACCCUUGGGCAAAUCAUUGAACUUCCCAGAGUUUCAAUUCUUUCAUCUGUUAAAUGAGAGGGGAUAA